UACGUAGCUCUGUAUAAAAAGUUUGUUGUUGUUGGAAUUUAAUUUGAAGGGAUGUCUGGUUGAAAAAAAAAAGAAAAAUCGUGUUAGCUUUUUGGCAGUGGCGAAGAAACAGUCAAAAAUUUUGACUAAAAAGGACUGUUGGAUGUUGAAAAAUAAUGGAUUUUUUUCAUUUCGUGCGCAGAACAUAUUGAUUCUGUUCAUUUUUGGUUCGGAAAUCGGUUAGUGAACUUUUUUUGUCGAUUCAAACUGUUAUAUUUGUUUUUUUUCUAGAGAACGGUAAGAAGCGAGCAAAAACUUCCGGAACAGGAUGAUAUUAUCAAAAAUUAAACUGGUAUGGUCUUCCCGGACGGCCAUUGAAAUCCGAUGGAAGCAAAUCGGAUGAUAAAUCCUGUGUGUGAUAAAUAUCAAUACGCAAAUGGACUCAGCCGCUGUCUAAAUGUUGACUCGAUCCCGACGCAAAUCAUUUUCCGGAGGAACACUAAAGGAAAAAAGAAUGGAAGAUUGGUUAGAAAACUCUGACCCGGAAAUGCUCCAGCCAUGGAAGAGCAGCUGGCGGGCCCAGACGGAUUCCGUUACUUCUCUGGGUAAUCAGAAUUCGAGCCACACACAAUUUGUACGUCUACCCGGGCUGGCCACUUCAACCGGAUAAGUAAAUGCGAUUCCGAUGUGCACUAUAAAAUAACCGAGGAAAUACGAGUAAUUAUCCCGUAACUAUCCCGGGCUUCCGUGAAACGCCAGAUUCUUACUUUUGCUUGUGGUUCUAUGUCUACGUGCGAUUAGAAAACUUAGGUGUGCUUGAGUGUUCAGCGAAGAGAAAUAAGGCACUGGAUAACAUUUUCCCUACCAGUGGGUCUGGAAAUAGUCCGAAAUUACGGUGACGUCGGUCAGAAACUGAUGCUGAGGCCUCGUCCCCUAACCUUCCAGUAUAGUUCGAACAUUAGCUGGUUCGAACAUUAGCUGGUGAAUGGUCACAUUCGGGGCACCUUCUGAAUGAAACGCAAGAAUGAGCAUGCUCUCAA